CGCACCUUGCACCCUUUGGUAUUCCGAAGGGUACGCCCGUUUGAGUGUCAUUGUAAUCUCACCUCUGCAACCUCGGUCGUGUGAAGUGGAGUUGGGCAGUGUCGUGUAAAGACGACUGGCCUGAAAUGCGUGAGUGUACCCUGCAGCCGCAGCGUCUUCAGUGUGAUAAAUGUCUUCACUGAUCAAAGUUCCUUUGGGACACGUAAGCGAUGUGGGCUCUGCGCUGCAAACCGUCUGUGAAGACAGUGUUGACAGUUUGACCUCAAAUUGGGUGGGACUACCCGCUGAACUUAA
rnacentral:misc_RNA from 1 species